rnacentral:rRNA from 1 species
AGUGAACGCUGGCGGUAGGCCUAACACAUGCAAGUCGAACGGCAGCACAGUAAGAGCUUGCUCUUACGGGUGGCGAGUGGCGGACGGGUGAGGAAUACAUCGGAAUCUACUUUUUCGUGGGGGAUAACGUAGGGAAACUUACGCUAAUACCGCAUACGACCUACGGGUGAAAGCAGGGGAUCUUCGGACCUUGCGCGACUGAAUUAGCCGAUGUCGGAUUAGCUAGUUGGCGGGGUAAAGGCCCACCAAGGCGACGAUCCGUAGCUGGUCUGAGAGGAUGAUCGGCCACACUGGAACUGAGACACGGUCCAGACUCCUACGGGAGGCAGCAGUGGGGAAUAUUGGGCAAUGGGCGCAAGCCUGAUCCAGCCAUACCGCGUGGGUGAAGAAGGCCUUCGGGUCGUAAAGCCCUUUUGUUGGGAAAGAAAAGCAGCAGGUUAAUACCCCGCUGUUCUGACGGUACCCAAAGAAUAAGCACCGGCUAACUUCGUG